rnacentral:rRNA from 1 species
UUAUACCGUGAAACUGCGAAUGGCUCAUUAAAUCAGUUAUCGUUUAUUUGAUAAUACCUUACUACUUGGAUAACCGUGGUAAUUCUAGAGCUAAUACAUGCUAAAAACCCCGACUUCGGGAGGGGUGUAUUUAUUAGAUAAAAAACCAAUGCCCUCCGGGGCUCCUUGGUGAUUCAUAAUAACUUCUCAGAUCGCAUGGCUCCAUGCCGGCGACGGUUCAUUCAAAUUUCUGCCCUAUCAACUUUCGAUGGUAAGGUAGUGGCUUACCAUGGUUCAACGGGUAACGGGGAAUUAGGGUUCGAUUCCGGAGAGGGAGCUGAGAAACGGCUACCACAUCCAAGGAAGGCAGCAGGCGCGCAAAUUACCCAAUUCCGACAUGGAGAGGUAGUGACAAUAAAUACUGAUACAGGGCUCUUUUGGGUCUUGUAAUUGGAAUGAGUACAAUUUAAACCUCUUAACGAGGAACAAUUGGAGGGCAAGUCUGGUGCCAGCAGCCGCGGUAAUUCCAGCUCCAAUAGCGUAUAUUAAAGUUGUUGCAGUUAAAAAGCUCGUAGUUGAACCUUUGGCCUGGCUGGCAGGUCCGCCUCACCGCGUGCACUUGUCCGGCCGGGCCUUCUCUUCUGGAGAACCGCAUGCCCUUCACUGGGUGUGUUGGGGACCAGGACUUUUACUUUGAAAAAAUUAGAGUGUUCAAAGCAGGCCUUUGCUCGAAUACGUUAGCAUGGAAUAAUAGAAUAGGACGUGCGGUCCUAUUUUGUUGGUUUCUAGGACCGCCGUAAUGAUUAAUAGGGACAGUCGGGGGCAUCAGUAUUCAAUUGUCAGAGGUGAAAUUCUUGGAUUUAUUGAAGACUAACUACUGCGAAAGCAUUUGCCAAGGAUGUUUUCAUUAAUCAGUGAACGAAAGUUAGGGGAUCGAAGACGAUCAGAUACCGUCGUAGUCUUAACCAUAAACUAUGCCGACUAGGGAUCGGGCGGUGUUUCUAUUGUGACCCGCUCGGCACCUUACGAGAA